rnacentral:rRNA from 1 species
AUACGGAGGGGGUUAGCGUUGUUCGGAAUUACUGGGCGUAAAGCGCACGUAGGCGGAUUGGAAAGUUGGGGGUGAAAUCCCAGGGCUCAACCCUGGAACUGCCUCCAAAACUAACAGUCUAGAGUUCGAGAGAGGUGAGUGGAAUUCCAAGUGUAGAGGUGAAAUUCGUAGAUAUUUGGAGGAACACCAGUGGCGAAGGCGGCUCACUGGCUCGAUACUGACGCUGAGGUACGAAAGCGUGGGUAGCAAACAGGAUUAGAUACCCCUGUAGUCC